AAUAACGUAUCUGGGAUCCCCCUUUUAUAGGUGGAGGGUGCAACAAACUGAUAGCGACAUUUGUAACCAUCUGGUAGUGGGUCGCUCGGGGUCAGGAGAAGUUUGUUAUGAAGAGUAGUGGAGUGAAAUUGUGGCCAUCACCAUGGCCUGCCACGUGGAGUCUGUUGCGGGGAGCGGAGCGACGUCCGUUGUCGCGACUUGUCAAAGAGCGAAGGAGCCAUGCAGAAUCUGUCACAGGAAGUGGAGUAGAGUCAUGGCCAUUACUGCGGCCUGCCAGGGUGUGGUGAAGCUGCACGG
rnacentral:lncRNA from 1 species